GCUCCAAUGGCGCAAUGGUAGCGCGCAAGACUUCUACUAAUGACUCUAGUCUAGUCAACGUAAAUCAAUCUUGAGGUUGAGGGUUCGAGCCCCUCUUGGAGUG
rfam:Pseudogymnoascus sp. WSF 3629 unplaced genomic scaffold scaffold_2, whole genome shotgun sequence.